GCGAUACACAGUAGGCGGCUUAGCGAAAGCAUUAAGUGAACCACCUGGGGAGUACGAUCGCAAGGUUGAAACUCAAAGGAAUUGACGGGGGCCCGCACAAGCGGAGGAACAUGUGGUUUAAUUCGAUGAUACGCGAGGAACCUUACCUGGGCUUAAAUGUAGAUUGCAUAACUUAGAAAUAGGUUUUCCCUUCGGGGCUAUUUACAAGGUGCUGCAUGGUUGUCGUCAGCUCGUGCCGUGAGGUGUCGGGUUAAGUCCCAUAACGAGCGCAACCCCUAUCGUUAGUUGCCAGCGGAUAAUGCCGGGGACUCUAGCGAGACUGCCACCAUAAGGUGAGAGGAAGGUGGGGAUGACGUCAAAUCAGCACGGCCCUUAUGUCCAGGGCUACACACGUGUUACAAUGGCCGAUACAAAGGGCAGCUACCAGGCAACUGGAUGCUAAUCUCUAAAGUCGGUCCCAGUUCGGAUUGGAGUCUGCAACCCGACUCCAUGAAGUUGGAUUCGCUAGUAAUCGGAUAUCAGCAAUGAUCCGGUGAAUACGUUCCCGGGCCUUGUACACACCGCCCGUCAAACCAUGGAAGCUGGGGGUACCUGAAGUCUGUGACCGCAAGGAGCGGCCUAGGGUAAAACUAGUAACUAGGGUUAAGUCGUAACAAGGUA
rnacentral:rRNA from 1 species